ensembl:lincRNA
UAUACCCCAAUGAAAUUAGUCCUUCCCAGAGUCUACACGCAGUGAAGCCAGAGAGUCACUGUGGGAUUCCUGGUCACACACUCACUGUGGACAGAGAAGCCAUCCUGAGAAUUUAAAGACAGGGCAUUUCAUGUGAGGAACCAGCUUCCUGGUGGAGGAGGAGGGAGGAAGCCGAGCAGCAGGACAAUCUCCCUGGGAAGCAGUAGGUGCAGGGUGCUGGUUCCAACUCCAGCAGGGCGGAUCCAGGGACUGUCUCUUAUACACAUCUAGAUGUGUAUAAGAGACAGUCCCUGCGGUGGGAGUCCGUGAAGUUCCUUCUGCUCCUCCAGAGACUCUUGUAUUUUUCAACACGCAGACUUGAAAUAUAGUGACUCUCACAACCCUGUAGUCCCAUGUCAGGGAACCCAAGGCCAGAACUCUGUUUUCUGAAGCCUCUCAAAGCACAAAGUAACUCCCAUUUUCCAGGAGAACCCCACACCUCAUAUGGCUUCACGGGGCAGUAAGCCACAGAGACACAGUCAAAAGCAACGGGGAAUCUACGAAAUGCAGAGGAAGUGAAAAGACAGAUGCAGGCCAGGAAAACACAAAAAGCCUUCUCUCUCCACCCAGGUGGACCCCGUGAUGGGGCUGGGAGAGAACGUGACGUUUUUCUGCAUCUCUGAAAUCUCAUUUGACCGGUACCAUCUGUGGAGAGAGGGGGCUCCUCAUGGCCAGUGGCUCAGUGGAGGGCAGGGACACAGGGGAGCGUUCCAGGCCAACUUUUCCGUGGGCCUCGCAACGCCAGCCCUUGGCGGGACCUAUAGAUGCUACGGUUCUUUCAAUGCCUCCCCCUAUGAGUGGUCGGCCCCCAGUGACCCCCUGAACCUUUCCGUCACAGGAGACCCUAAGAGUACUCAUCUGUUGGUCAUGGACUCCACCCCUGAAUCUGACACACACCUUCCUCAGGGACAAGCCAGCAACCUGGAUAUCCUCAUUGGGCUCUCAGUAGCCGUCAUCUCCAUUGGCAUUUGCCUCUCUACUUUAAUUGGUUACUGGCGUUCCAUAAAAUAUCACACCCCCAUGGCAAACACAGAGCCUGUGGAAGGCCAACAGAUGGAUGAAGAGGACCCUGCAGCAGAAGCAGCACAGAAUAUGGUGUAUGCCCAGUUAGACCAGCAUGCCCUCUCUCGGAGAGGAGUCACUCCCACCCUCCCGUGUCCCGAGUACUUCUCGGAGAACCCCAGUAUCUACAUGGCUGUCCACCAAGCCUAGGCGGAGGCCACAGCUGCCCCAGUCUUUCAGCACAAGGGGCAUUCAUGCGCAAGGACCUGGAUCUUUUCCUAGGAGGAUUUUUUUCCAUGGACAUUCCUCCUCCUUCUGGCACUAUCUUGACACCUCCAAGCUGGCAACAGCAGAGUCUGAAUGCCUGUGGGAUUAUGUCAAAAUUCCAGCACUGCUUCGCAGACAACUAGCCAUUCUAUGAUUCUAUUUUGAGCAUCCAGCCAUUUAAGGUGAUUUGACUCUACCCACCCACUCAUUCUGGACAUCUCACUAAUGUCACCUGACUUAUUCCGAAACUCCACAGACUUGCUUCUAGAAAGCUGAUGCUUAUCCUCAGCCAGUUUAGUCUCUAAAUUACUCAGUAAGUUUAUUUUAAAUUUCUUUUGGAAGUUUUUACUGCUUUUAUUGCAAUGUGAUUUUUUGGAUUAUGUUAUCAAAUGCUUUUUUUUAUUGUACUGUGAAUUCUGGGGUACAUGUGUGUGUCUUGCAGGAUUGUUGCAUAGGUACACACAGGCCAUGGUUGUUUGCUGCCUCUGUCCCCCCUCCACCUACAUCAGGCAUUAGUUCCGGGGUACGUGUGCAGGAUGUGCAGGUUUGUUAAGGCAAAUGCGUGCCGUGGUGGUUUGCUGCAUUUAUCAAUCCAUCACCUAGGUAUGAAGCCCAGCGUGCAUUAGUUCUCUUCUCUAAUGCUUUCUGCACCCCCUGCCCUCCUCUGACAGGUCCUAGUGAGCGUCGUGCCCCUCCCUGUGUCCAUGUGAUCUCACGGGUCAGCUCCCACUUCUAAGUGAAAACAUGCAGUGUCUGGUUUUUCGUUCCUGCACUGGUUUCCGUGUCUCUGCAAAUGACAUGAUUUCAUUCCUUUUCAUGACUGCGUAGUAUUCAGUGGCGUGCGUACACCACGUUGUCUUUAUCCAGUCUAACAUCAAUGGGCAUUUGGGUUGAUUCCAUGUCUUUGCUAUUACUCAAUAAAAUGUUGCAGAGAUGAAGUGUAUUCUACAUCUGAGUCAUCUAAUAUGGUAGCCACUUGUGAAAUAUGGCUUUUUAACUUGGAAUAGAUCAAAUUACAUGACGUUUAAAAUUCAACCCUCAGCCACAGGGCCACAACUUGAGUUCUCAGAGCCACGUGUGGCUGCUGGCUGUCAGAAGAGCAUGAAUUCAGAAUGUUUUCUUUGUCGGAGGAAGUUCUAGCUGUUACAGAUGAAAGGUUCAAACUUGAAGAUGCAGAGUGUAUUUUCUCAUGGAGUGCAGCCUCCUGGAAGAGCCCUAGUGUAACAAAAUGAUAAUAUUUAACAUCUAUUGUGAGACGUCUUUAUCUAAUGAAAUGCUGAGAAUUCUCUCCAGGAGUGUCUUAUCACCUCUUAUCUUUGUGCAAAUUUCUGCCAGAGAGAUUUUCUCCCAAACUCUGAGAAGGUCGCCUCCUGUUUGCCCCUUUCCUCGUCCCCUGGUUUCACGUGGAGAGAAAGCACGCGUCCUUUCUCGGCACAGAAUAUUGUCUGGAAGCUGCUUUCGGAUGACCUCUAUAUCUGAGCCUUUAUUCUGUUCCUUUCUACCUGAAUUGGCACCUGCCCAGAGCAAUUCACAAACUGCUGCCUGCGACGAGCUGUAGUUAGUGAAUUGGUGCAUGCUGCUCCCUCACCUGGGAAUCCUCUCCAUUUCUUGAGCAUCUCAGUGCAGACGUUCACCUUCGUACACACGUCUUUAUCUCAUAGGCUAAGCAAAGAGGCUGAUCAACCCACAGUGUCUGUGCCCAGUAGGGUGAGUUUUUAUUGUCUGAUCCCCACUGGUCUUUUAUGUGUGGACUGUGAACUUUUGGAGGCAGGACUGAGUCUGAUUAACCUCUGGGACUCAAGCCACCUUCCAAGGAUCCUGCCCAUAGGAGGUAUCGGCAACUCCGGUCUGGUGAGUGAUGAGGACACCCAACCCUUCCAGAGAGCAGAGCAUGGAGCAAACAUCAGAGAUCCGCUAAUGUUACCCAGAAACAGUUUCUCUGUCUCCCUGGGUCAGAGGGGAUUGUGCUUCCUCCACUGUCUGGGAUAUGUGGACUAAGGGACAAAUGCUGGUUAGUGGGUGUGAGGGGGAAUGGCAGGCACACUCCCAGCCUGGCUAUUCGCUGCACAUAUUGACCCAUCCUGUAAGUUCCUCCCCCUCACUCCCCACCCCCACAACAGGCCCUGGUGUGUGAUGUCCCUGUGUUUAUGUGUUCUCAUUGUUCAACUCCCA